rnacentral:rRNA from 1 species
AAAGUUAUUGUAGCAAAACUAUUUUAAAUAAUUAUUUUGAAAUGAAAUGUUAAUCGUUUUUAAAUAUAUCUAGUUUUUUUAGAAAAAAAUUUAAUUUUAAAUUUAUUAUUUAAUAAUUUUAAUUAUUUAAUUUUAUUAAUAUUAAUUUUUAUAUUUUAAGGGAUAAGCUUUAAAUUAAAUUUUUAUAAUUAGAAUUUUAUUUUUGAAAAUUUUAUGAUUUAUAUUGUUAAUAAAUUUUAUUUUAUUAUAAAUAAUUUCAUUUAAAUUAAAAUUUAAUUUUAUUUAAUUUUUUAUAAAAAAAUUAUUUUUAAUUUUAAAAAAUUAGUAAUAAUGAUAAAAUUAGUAUAUUUAAAUUUAAUUUAAUUUUUUAUUGUUUAAUUUAAUUAAUUAUUUAAAAUUAAUUCGGCAAAUAUUUAUAUUCACUUGUUUAACAAAAACAUGUCUUUUUGGGGUUAAUUUAAAGUCUAAUCUGCCCACUGAUUUUAUAUUAAAGGGCUGCAGUAUUUUGACUGUACAAAGGUAGCAUAAUCAUUAGUCUCUUAAUUGGUGACUUGUAUGAAAGAUUGAAUGAAAUAUAUACUGUCUCUUAAAUAAUAUAUAGAAUUUAAUUUUUUAUUUAAAAAGUUAAAAUAAUUUAAAAAGACGAGAAGACCCUAUAGAGUUUAAUAAAUAAACUUAAAAUAAAUUUUUUAUAUUUUUAAUAUUUUUUUAUUUUUAUUUAUUUUGUUGGGGUGAUAGAAAAAUUUAAUUAACUUUUUUUUAUUUAAAACAUAAAUAAGUGAAUUAUUGAUCCAAUAUUAUUGAUUAUAAGAUAAAAUUACCUUAGGGAUAACAGCGUAAUUUUAUUUUUUAGUUCAAAUAAGAAAUAAAGUUUGCGACCUCGAUGUUGGAUUAAGAUAAAAUUUAA